GCCCGCCUAGCUCAAUCGGAUAGAGCGUCAGACUUUUAAGGCGAGGUGUCUUGAGGAAUCUGAAGGCUGCGAGUUCGACCCUCGCGGUGGGCU